AUUGAACGCUGGCGGCAUGCCUAACACAUGCAAGUCGAACGAGUGGCGGACGGGUGAGUAAUGUCUGGGAAACUGCCCGAUGGAGGGGGAUAACUACUGGAAACAGUAGCUAAUACCGCAUACCAUCGGAUGUGCCCAGAUGGGAUUAGCUAGUAGGGGGGGUAACGGCUCACCUAGGCGACGAUCCCUAGCUGGUCUGAGAGGAUGACCAGCCACACUGGAACGGGGACACGGUCCAGACCCCUACGGGAGGCAGCGGGGGGGAAUAUUGCACAAGGGGCGCAAUCCUGAUGCAGCCAUGCCGCGUGGAUGAAGAAGGCCUUCGGGUUGUAAAGUACUUUCAGCGAGGAGGCGUUACUCGCAGAAGAAGCACCGGCUAACUCCGUGCCAGCCGCCGCGGUAAUUC
rnacentral:rRNA from 1 species